GUACACUCCUACGGGAGGCAGCAGUGGGGAAUAUUGCACAAUGGGCGCAAGCCUGAUGCAGCGACGCCGCGUGGGGGAUGAAGGCCUUCGGGUUGUAAACUCCUUUCGCUAGGGACGAAGCUUUUUUGUGACGGUACCUAGAUAAGAAGCACCGGCUAACUACGUGCCAGCAGCCGCGGUAAUACGUAGGGUGCGAGCGUUGUCCGGAAUUACUGGGCGUAAAGGGCUCGUAGGUGGUUUAUCGCGUCGUCUGUGAAAUUCUGGGGCUUAACUCCGGGCGUGCAGGCGAUACGGGCAUAACUUGAGUGCUGUAGGGGUAACUGGAAUUCCUGGUGUAGCGGUGAAAUGCGCAGAUAUCAGGAGGAACACCGAUGGCGAAGGCAGGUUACUGGGCAGUUACUGACGCUGAGGAGCGAAAGCAUGGGUAGCGAACAGGAUUAGAAACCCUAGUAGUCCCAUGAU
rnacentral:rRNA from 1 species